AGGAGGCCAAAGGACCCCGAGAAGUUUGCAGCCGACUCCACCACCUUUGCCACCAGUGGCUGAAGCCAGAAAGGCACACGAAAGCUGAGAUGCUGGACCUGGUGAUCUUGGAGCAGUUCCUGGCUGUCCUUCCAGCGGAGAUGGAGAGCUGGGUGAGGGAAUGCGGAGCAGAGACCAGUUCCCAGGCAGUGGCCCUGGCCGAAGGUUUCCUCCUGAGUCAGGCGGAGGAGAGGAAGCAGUUGGAGAAGCAGGUGA
rnacentral:lncRNA from 1 species